GGGGACAUUGGGGACAGUGGGGACACUGGGAUGGGGGGGACACUGGGGACAUUGGGAUGGGGGGGACAUUGGGGACAUUGGGGAUGGGGGAAUGUGGGAACACCGGGAAUGUGGGGAUGGGGGGGAUGAUGUCCCCAAGCAGUUCCAGGGGCCACCAUGGGGGACAAUGAACCCCACUGAGGGACACCAAUGGGCCAACAGAACAUUUAUAGGGCCACGUAACAACGCGAGCGACCCGACAUGAAGCCAAAGGAGGACAAUGGGUGGCGCUGAGUGACACCAAUGGCUCCCAAUGUCCCCAAGUAGUUCCCAGGGCCACCAGGAGGGACAAUGGACCCCAUUGAGGGACACCCAACGCCGAAGGUCACCCAAUGGGCCCCAAUACCACCUAUAGGGCCACGUAUCAACAUGAGCAUCCCAACAUGAAGCCAAAGGGGGACAAUGGAUGGCGUUGAGUGACGCCAAUGGCUCCCAAUGUCCCCACAGAGCUCUGAGUGCCAUCAGGAGGGACAACGGACCCCAUUGAGGGACACCCCACACCAAAGGUCACCCAAUGGGCCAACAGAACAUUUAUAGGGCCACGUAACAACGCGAGCGACCCGACAUGAAGCCAAAGGAGGACAAUGGGUGGCGCUGAGUGACACCAAUGGCUCCCAAUGUCCCCACAGAGCUCUGAGGGUCACCAUGAGUGACAUUUGGACCCCAAUGAGGGACACCCAACGCUGAAGGUCACCCAAUGGGCCCCAAUACCACCUAUAGGGCCACAUAUCAACACGAGCAUCCCGACAUGAAGACAAAGGAGGGCAAUGGGUGACAUUGAGUGACACCAAUGGCUCCCAAUGUCCCCAUGAGUGACAAUGGACCCCAUUGAGGGACACCCAACACCAAAGGCCACCCAAUGGGCCCCAAUACCACCUAUAGGGCCACAUAUCAACACGAGUGUCCCAACAUGAAGACAAAUGGAGACAAUGGAUGGCGUUGAGUGACGCCAAUGGCUCCCAAUGUCCCCAGGAGGGACUGAGUGGCACCAGGAGGGACAGUGGACCCCAUUGAGGGACACCCCACACCAAAGGUCACCCAAUGGGCCAACAGAACAUUUAUAGGGCCACGUAUCAACGCGAGCGACCCGACAUGAAGCCAAAGGAGGACAACGGGUGGCAUUGAGUGACACCAAUGGAUCCCAAUGUCCCCAGGAGGCGCUGAGUGCCACCAGGAGGGACAAUGGACCCCACUGAGUGACACCCAACACCGAAGGCCACCCAAUGGGCCCCAAUACCACCUAUAGGGCCACAUAUCAACACGAGUGUCCCAACAUGAAGCCAAAUGGAGACAAUGGAUGGUGUUGAGUGACACCAAUGGCUCCCAAUGUCCCCGCAGAGCUCUGAGUGCCAUCAGGAGGGACAAUGGACCCCAUUGAGGGACACCCAAUGCCAAAGGCCACCCAAUGGGCCCCAAUACCACCUAUAGGGCCACAUAUCAACACGAGCAUCCCAACAUGAAGACAACGGAGGGCAAUGGGUGGCGCUGAGUGACACCAAUGGGUCCCAAUGUCCCCAAGUAGUUCCCAAGGCCACCAGGAGGGACAAUGGACCCCAUUGAGGGACACCCCACACCAAAGGUCACCCAAUGGGCCAACAGAACGUUUAUAGGGCCACGUAACAACGCGAGCGACCCGACAUGAAGCCAAAGGAGGACAACUGGUGGCAUUGAGUGACACCAAUGGCUCCCAAUGUCCCCAGGAGGGACAAUGGACCCCAUUGAGGGACACCCAACGCCAAAGGUCACCCAAUGGGCCCCAAUACCACCUAUAGGGCCACAUAUCAACAUGAGCGUCCCGACAUGAAGCCAAAGGAGGACAACUGGUUGCGUUGAGUGACACCAAUGGCUCCCAAUGUCCCCAAGUAGUUCCCAGGGACACCAUGAGUGACAAUGGACCCCAUUGAGGGACACCCAACGCUGAAGGUCACCCAAUGGACCCCAAUACCACCUAUAGGGCCACAUAUCAACAUGAGCGUCCCAACAUGAAGACAAAGGAGGGCAAUGGGUGACAUUGAGUGACACCAAUGGGUCCCAAUGUCCCCAAGUAGUUCCCAGGGCCACCAGGAGGGACAAUGGACCCCAUUGAGGGACACCCCACACCAAAGGUCACCCAAUGGGCCAACAGAACAUUUAUAGGGCCACGUAACAACGCGAGCGACCCGACAUGAAGCCAAAGGAGGACAAUGGGUGGCGCUGAGUGACACCAAUGGCUCCCAAUGUCCCCAAGUAGUUCCCAGGGCCACCAGGAGGGACAACGGACCCCAUUGAGGGACACCCCACACCAAAGGUCACCCAAUGGGCCAACAGAACAUUUAUAGGGCCACGUAACAACGUGAGCGACCCGACAUGAAGCCAAAGGGGGACAAUGGGUGGCGCUGAGUGACACCAAUGGCUCCCAAUGUCCCCAGGAGGGACAAUGGACCCCAUUGAGGGACACCCAACGUUGAAGGUCACCCAAUGGGCCCCAAUACCACCUAUAGGGCCACAUAUCAACACGAGCAUCCCAACAUGAAGACAACGGAGGGCAAUGGGUGGCGCUGAGUGACACCAAUGGCUCCCAAUGUCCCCACAGAGCUCUGAGUGCCAUCAGGAGGGACAACGGACCCCAUUGAGUGACACCCAACGCCAAAGGCCACCCAAUGGGCCAAGAAAACAUUUAUAGGGCCACGUAACAACGCGAGCGACCCGACAUGAAGCCAAAGGGGGACAAUGGGUGGCACUGAGUGACACCAAUGGCUCCCAAUGUCCCCAGGAGGGACAAUGGACCCCAUUAAGGGACACCCAACGUUGUUGGACAACC
ensembl:lncRNA